rnacentral:rRNA from 1 species
CGCUCAACGGAUAAAAGGUAAUCAGGGGAUAACAGGCUAAUUCCUCCCAAGAGUUCAUAUCGACGGAGGAGUUUGGCACCUCGAUGUCGGCUCAUAACAUCCUGGGGCUGAAGUAGGUCCCAAGGGUAUGGCUGUUCGCCAUAUAAAGUGGUACGCGAGCUGGGUUCAGAACGUCGUGAGACAGUUCGGUCCCUAUCUGCCGUGUGCGGUAGAGAUUUGAGAAGAGUUGCUCCUAGUACGAGAGGACCGGAGUGAAC